rnacentral:misc_RNA from 1 species
AACUUUGGCCAGUGGAUCACUUGGCUCUCGCAUCGAUGAAGAACGCAGCGAAAUGCGAUAAGUAAAGUGAAUUGCAGAAUUCAGUGAAUCAUCGAAUCUUUGAACGCACAUUGCGCUCUUUGGUAGUCCGAAGAGAAUGCCUGUUUGAGUGUCAUGAAAAUAUCAACCUUGACUUGGGUUGAGUGCUCUUGUCUUGGCUUGGAUUUGGCUGUUUGCCGCUCGAAAGAGUCGGCUCAGCUUAAAAGUAUUAGCUGGAUCUGUCUUUGAGACUUGGUUUGACUUGGCGUAAUAAGUUAUUUCGCUGAGGACAAUCUUCGGAUUGGCCGAGUUUCUGGGACGUUUGUCCGCUUUCUAAUACAAGUUCUAGCUUGCUAGACAUGACUUUUUUAUUAUCUGGCCUCAAAUCAGGUAGGACUACCCGCUGAACUUAAGCAUAUCAAUAAGCGGAGGCU